AGAGACAGAAGGAUUAAGGAUCUCAUUAAAGUGUUUGGAGCUAAUAAGUGGCAGAGCUGAAAUUUGAACCCAGGGAAUUUCAGAAAAUGAGCCUGACUUUCUUAACUGCUAAGCUGUACUAGACGAUUCUUAAUUUCCCAUUACACCCUCUCCCUGUGUGAAGGACUGUGGACCAUGAAGCAUUCGGACACAGCAGGAUUUAAGGGGAUGUGGAUGCCUGGACAAUGAAACCAAAGAUGGAAGUCUGCCCUCUGAAAUGGCCUAUGAAAGAAUGACAGUCCAGUAGUGAUGACCACAUCUAAUUCCUACCAGAAGGAACUAGGACUUCUUGGAGAAAUAGGCGAUCCUCAGUCUGCAGCAGGUGAGCCUAGGAUCUCUCAUUUCAAAACAACAUUGAAAGCACUCAAAGACUGAACUUGCUGGGAUUCCCACUAGCCAAAUUUGUGAUAAUUCGAAUAUCAAAAAGAAUAAUGAGUCUAAUUGAUUGUAAAGCAUUGAGCAAAUUC